rnacentral:lncRNA from 1 species
GAGGUCCCCGCACCGCCGGGAGCUCGGCGCCCCAACACCGCCAGCCUCCGGGACUGACUGUGGUGGGAGCACCGUGCCUUCCCAGGCUCGGCGGCCUCGAGGGCCGCAGGGCCCCGGGGCCUCUGUGCCGGUGGCCUGGGCAAGCCGCUGGCCCCAGAGCGGAACGCUGGCCUCAGACCGAGUUGGCCCCGCGCGACCACAGAUCCACCCGGGUCAAAGCCCUGUCCUCCCCACGGCCUCCCCUGCAAGCCCAGCCAGCUCUGUCCCCCGUGCGGUUCCGAGUGCUGAGGACCUCUGCGAGCCUCGUUUCUCCAUCCACACCGCGUGGCACCCAGGCAGUAGCGCGAGGAAUGUGAGCUAAUGACGAGGCGGACCGACCCCACCGUGAACGUCCGCCGUGAACCGGGGGUCGGUCCUGCGAUCUUAGUGAAUACGACAACCUCUCUGCCGCAGUUUUCUCUAAAGUGGGGCUAACUUGACGUAGAUAGACUUGAAGAUAGGAUCCACUUAUAUUUGCAAGAAUGCACCCAAGCUCAGAAGUGUUGGCGACAGCAGGGAGAGGUGCAGGUUUGGAGAGCCCUGGAAAAGGCUUUCCCAUUUUACUCUGUACGUUUGGAUUUUUUAACCACAUGCAUUGUCAAUGUAUUCAGGUUAAAAAUAAGUAAUAUAUGUAAAACGGCGGGCAUAGUGGAGAUGAUAAAUGGUUACUAUUUUUUUUUAAAUUUUGUGUUUUUUGAUACUAAGGAUUGAACCCAGGGGUGCUUUAUCACUGAGCUCCAGCCCUUUUUAUUUUUUAUUUUGAGAUAGGGUCUCAUUGAGUUGCUUAGGGCCUCGCUAAAUUGCUGAGGCUGGCUUUGCACUAGCCAUCCUCCUGAGCAGAUGGGAUUACGGGCAGGUGCCACCGCCCAUAUUAUUUUUAUGAGGUACUGAGGAUCGAACCCAGGGCCUCACAAGUGCUAGGUGACUGCUCUACCGCAGAGCCACAUCCCCAGCCCUACCUUUACAUUUUUAUUUGCCAUUUACUCAUGAGUCCAGUUUUGUUAAAUCUAUUCAGUGCUUUAAAGCUGCUUUUAUUUUAUUUUCUCCUUGGCACUGGGGAUUAAACCUACAGUCUCUCUGCCACUGAGCUACAUUCCUCACCCUUUUUAUUUUUAUUUUGAAUCAGGGGCUCACUAAAUUGCCUAGGCUGGCUUCUAAUUUGCAAUCCUCCUGCAUCAGCCUCCCAAGUAGCUGGGUUUAUAGGCCAUGUACCACUGCAGGCAGUGUAACUGCUUAUUUGUAAGUGACUUGAACACGCUUGCCUGUAAUACCAGAUGGCAAAUUUAAAGCCAGGCUCUACAACCCCCUCUACACCCCCCCCCAAGGCCCUAAGUAACCAGUAAGAACUUGUCUCUAAAUUUAAAUAUAUAGGUAUGUAUAUAAAAGGGUUAAGGAUGCAGCUCAGUGAUUAAGCUCCCCUGAAUUCAAUGCCAGGUAUCAAAACUAAAUAAAUAAAUGUGAUUUGGAACCAGCAUGGUGGGACAUACCUGUAACCCAGUAACUUGAGAGGCUGAAGCAAGAGGAUUGAAAACUCCAGGCCAGCCUCAGCAAUUUAAAAAGGAUGUGGCUCAGUGGGAAAGAACCCUGGGUUAAAUCUCUGAUAAUAAAAAAGGUUAAAAAUAAAAAAAUAAAAUAAAAUAAAAGUGGCUUGGAGGUCAGUUAAUCCUGGGCUCGGCAGAAGCAGAUAUUAGGUCUAAGAAUAUGAUGGGUGAAAAUAUAAAAUGCUUUUAGGGUGGGGAUAUAGCUCAGUGGCAGAGCAAGUUCCUCUGUUUGAUCCCCAGCAAAAGAACAGCUUUUAUUUUACUCAUUUUGCAGUAUUAGGAAUAAAACUCCAAAACAGAGCAAUACCCCUAGCACUUCUUUUUUAUUUUUUUGAGACAGUGUCUUGAUAAAUACCAAGCCUGACCUUGAACUUGCUAUCCUACUGCCUCAACUGGGUUUGUUUUUUUGUUUUUGUGGCACUCGGGAUUGAACCCAGGGGUGUUCUACCACUGAGCUACGCUCCCAGAUCUUUUUAUGAUUAUGAGACAGGGUCUUGCUAAAUUGCUGAGGCCGGCCUGGAACUUGCCAUCCUUCUACCUCAGCAACCCCCUCUACACCUGCCCCCCCCCCCAGUCAUUGGGAUUACGGGUGUGCACCACCAUGCCUAGCUUCCCGGGGUUUUUAUUUUUCAAGAUACUCUGGUUAGUAAUAUGACAAAUUACUAAAAGCAAACAACAACAAAACUUCAAACAGGAAGCACAUCACAAAUAGGACUGCGGGCCACAUUUACUGCAGGCCUUUAUUGGUGCCUCUCAAAAGGUACUUGGGUUCUGGUCUUCCUUUUUCCCAAAGGGCUUGCGAAGAAACGGGUUAAUGACCCACUCCCAGCAGGGUGGUUUAUCAGGGACUCCUGGUGCUACACAGUCCCAACCCAGAGGCAUAUUUAUAGUUCUGGGUUCUGAGGGGAAGCCCCUUUGCCCAGUUCUCAGAGUACAAUGCAGACCAAAUGCCUCCUGGGAGGCCAAGGGAGAUAUUUUAGGUUAGGUAGCUUUCAGUGCUGCCCUGUCACAGCCUGUCAGCUAACACUUAUCUAGAAGGAGGC